rnacentral:tRNA from 1 species
UGGCUCAAUGGUUAAGAGCACUGAGUGCUCUUCCAGAGGUCCUGGGUUCAAUUCCCAG